rnacentral:rRNA from 1 species
CCCCUAGAUGUUCUGGGCCGCACGCGCGCUACACUGAACAGUUCAACAAGUCUUAAACUUGGCCGAUAGGUCUGGGUAAUCUUUGAACGCUGUUCGUGAUUGGGAUAGACCUUUGCAAUUAUGGGUCUUCAACGAGGAAUUCCUAGUAAACGCAAGUCAUCAGCUUGCAUUGAUUACGUCCCUGCCCUUUGUACACACCGCCCGUCGCACCUACCGAUUGAAUGGUCCGGUGAAAUCUCGGGACGGCGGCUUGGUCGCUUGCGUCCGACUGCUGAAACUUGAUUAAACCAUAUCAUUUAGAGGAAGGUGAAGUCGUAACA